UACGUAGGCAGCGAACGUUGUUCGGAGUUACUGGGCGUAAAGGGUGCGUAGGCGGUCGGGUAAGUCUGAUGUGAAAUCUCACAGCUUAACUGUGAAACUGCAUUGGAUACUAUUCGGCUUGAGGUCUGGAGGGGGGACUGGAAUUCUCGGUGUAGCAGUGAAAUGCGUAGAUAUUCGGAGGAACACCAGUGGCGAAGGCGGCUUACUGGUCCAUUACUGACGCUGAGGUGCGAAAGCGUGGGGAGCAAACAGG
rnacentral:rRNA from 1 species